AUGGGCGCAAGCCUGAUGCAGCGACGCCGCGUGAGGGAUGACGGCCUUCGGGUUGUAAACCUCUUUCAGUAGGGAAGAAGCGAAAGUGACGGUACCUGCAGAAGAAGCGCCGGCUAACUACGUGCCAGCAGCCGCGGUAAUACGUAGGGCGCAAGCGUUAUCCGGAAUUAUUGGGCGUAAAGAGCUCGUAGGCGGUUUGUCGCGUCUGCCGUGAAAGUCCGGGGCUCAACUCCGGAUCUGCGGUGGGUACGGGCAGACUAGAGUGAUGUAGGGGAGACUGGAAUUCCUGGUGUAGCGGUGAAAUGCGCAGAUAUCAGGAGGAACACCGAUGGCGAAGGCAGGUCUCUGGGCAUUAACUGACGCUGAGGAGCGAAAGCAUGGGGAGCGAACAGGAUUAGAUACCCUGGUAGUCCAUGCCGUAAACGUUGGGCACUAGGUGUGGGGGACAUUCCACGUUUUCCGCGCCGUAGCUAACGCAUUAAGUGCCCCGCCUGGGGAGUACGGCCGCAAGGCUAAAACUCAAAGGAAUUGACGGGG
rnacentral:rRNA from 1 species